rnacentral:sRNA from 2 species
AUUCUGCCCAAGCGGGGAAGGAUGAGAAGCUUCGACCAAGGUUCGACUUGAGCGCCAGCGAGAGAGCGUUGCCGCAGGCAACGACCCGAAGGGCGAAGCGCGCAGCGCUGAGUAAUCCUUUCCCCACCACCA